rnacentral:rRNA from 1 species
GAUGAACGCUGGCGGCGUGCUUAACACAUGCAAGUCGAACGGAAAGGCCCAAGCUUGCUUGGGUACUCGAGUGGCGAACGGGUGAGUAACACGUGGGUGAUCUGCCCUGCACUUCGGGAUAAGCCUGGGAAACUGGGUCUAAUACCGGAUAGGACCACUUCUUGGAUGUUGUGGUGGAAAGUUUUUUCGGUGUGGGAUGAGCUCGCGGCCUAUCAGCUUGUUGGUGGGGUAAUGGCCUACCAAGGCGUCGACGGGUAGCCGGCCUGAGAGGGUGUACGGCCACAUUGGGACUGAGAUACGGCCCAGACUCCUACGGGAGGCAGCAGUGGGGAAGAUUGCACAAUGGGCGCAAGCCUGAUGCAGCGACGCCGCGUGGGGGAUGACGGCCUUCGGGUUGUAAACUCCGUUCGCUAGGGACGAAGCGUUUUGUGACGGUACCUGGAGAAGAAGCACCGGCUAACUACGUG